rnacentral:tRNA from 1 species
GGCACAGUGGUGCAGUGGGUAGCACUGUCGCCUCACAGUGCUGGGCUGGGUUUGAAUCCCGGCCUGGGCUG